rnacentral:rRNA from 1 species
UAGGGAAUCUUCCGCAAUGGACGCAAGUCUGACGAAGCACCGCCGCGUGAGUGAAGAAGGAUUUCGGUUCGUAAAACUCUUUUGUUAGAGAAGAACAGCGCAUAGAGUAACUGUUAUGCGUGUGACGGUAUCUAACCAGAAAGCCACGGCUAACUACGUGCCAGCAGCCGCGGUAAUACGUAGGUGGCAAGCGUUGUCCGGAUUUAUUGGGCGUAAAGCGAGCGCAGGCGGUCAAUUAAGUCUGAUGUGAAAGCCCCCGGCUCAACCGGGGAGGGUCAUUGGAAACUGGUUGACUUGAGUGCAGAAGAGGAGAGUGGAAUUCCAUGUGUAGCGGUGAAAUGCGUAGAUAUAUGGAGGAACACCAGUGGCGAAGGCGACUCUCUGGUCUGUAACUGACGCUGAGGCUCGAAAGCGUGGGUAGCAAACAGG